rnacentral:rRNA from 11 species
GCCUGCUAUAAGAGCCUAAAUGUCUUAAAAGGCACCAAAUAUGUUUGAACUUGGAAGCUAAGCAGUGUGAACCCUGGUUAGUACUUGGAUGGAAGACCACCAAGAAAUACCAGAUGUUGUAGUCU